rnacentral:rRNA from 1 species
CUACGGGAGGCAGCAGUGAGGAAUAUUGCACAAUGGGGGGAACCCUGAUGCAGCAACGCCGCGUGGAGGAUGACGCAUUUCGGUGUGAAAACUCCUUUUAUAUGUCAAGAAAAUGACGGUAGCAUAUGAAUAAGCACCGGCUAACUCCGUGCCAGCAGCCGCGGUAUACGGAGGGUGCAAGCGUUACUCGGAAUCACUGGGCGUAAAGGACGCGUAGGCGGGUUGGACAGUCUGGUGUGAAAUCCUACAGCUUAACUGUAGAACUGCACUUGAAACUUCUAAUCUAGAGUAUGGGAGGGGGAGAUGGAAUUAGUGGUGUAGGGGUAAAUUCCGUAGAUAUCACUAGGAAUACCUAAAGCGAAGGCGAUCUCCUGGAACAUUACUGACGCUAAGGCGUGAAAGCGUGGGGAGCAAACAGGAUUAGAUACCCCCGUAGUC